AGUUUGAUCCUGGCUCAGAUUGAACGCUGGCGGCAGGCCUAACACAUGCAAGUCGAGCGGUAGAGAGAAGCUUGCUUCUCUUGAGAGCGGCGGACGGGUGAGUAAUGCCUAGGAAUCUGCCUGGUAGUGGGGGAUAACGUUCGGAAACGGACGCUAAUACCGCAUACGUCCUACGGGAGAAAGCAGGGGACCUUCGGGCCUUGCGCUAUCAGAUGAGCCUAGGUCGGAUUAGCUAGUUGGUGGGGUAAUGGCUCACCAAGGCGACGAUCCGUAACUGGUCUGAGAGGAUGAUCAGUCACACUGGAACUGAGACACGGUCCAGACUCCUACGGGAGGCAGCAGUGGGGAAUAUUGGACAAUGGGCGAAAGCCUGAUCCAGCCAUGCCGCGUGUGUGAAGAAGGUCUUCGGAUUGUAAAGCACUUUAAGUUGGGAGGAAGGGCAGUAAAUUAAUACUUUGCUGUUUUGACGUUACCGACAGAAUAAGCACCGGCUAACUCUGUGCCAGCAGCCGCGGUAAU
rnacentral:rRNA from 2 species